rnacentral:lncRNA from 1 species
ACACAGAGCCCAGUGUGAAUCGUUUGAAUUCCAAUAGGAAAUGAAAACCUAGGCAGAGCUGAGCAGAUAGAUCUUGUAAGAGCCAUCAGAAAUUACCGAGGGCGAAAGGAGGCAGAGAGAGAGAGAGAGAGAGAGAGAGAGAGAGAGAGAGAGAGAGAGAGAGAGAGAGAGAGAGAGGAGAGAAUGUGUGUGCGUGUUCACGUGCAUGCAGGCGCUCUUGUGUGCACUUGUAUGUAUGUGUGUGUUGAAUUUUCAUCAGUCUUAAUGUCUUCAUGACACUUUUCUAAGGACAUGAACCCUCUUGUCUACAUAUUUGGAGAGAAUAUGACUUUACUAGCCGAGAAAAUACAAUAUAUCUUGUCUACUGGCCUGUAAAAUACAUGUAAGAAAUAAAAAUUAGUCGCAUUUGGUCCUCUAGUAUAUUAAAGUGCUAUCUGACAUUGUUAUCCUGGUUCUUUUGUUUUGUUUUCAAAAAAAAAAAAAUGUAAACUACAGACCAUUGUUUCUAAAAGCAGAGAGAUCUAUUUUAGUAGUCAACAGAAGGUUUAGUUGUGAAUUCUGAUUUUGUGGACACCAGACGUGUGUAAUGUUCUGUUUUCCUUUCUUUCAUUUUUAUUUUAUUUUUAAAAGACAACAAUUAAAAAGGAAAAAAAAAUCCCAAGGAUUCUGUGCACUGGAACUGUAGCGGUAGGGUCUCAGCAUUGUAAAGAGAUUGUUCUUGUACAGGCCUCUUUUUUUCUUUCUUUUUUUUUUUUUGCUGUUUCUCUUGUAUGUAAAAAAGAAAAAAAAAAGGAAAAAGGAAAAAAAAAAAAAAAGGAAGAAAAAAGUCCUUUCCAGACCCCACUUGAACAGGAAGGGAAGCAACGAAAUCUUCAGCAUGUCUCAUUGGAGGAGCCUUCUUGUGUGAUGUAAAUGUAUCAUGUUAUUAAAAAAAUGUGAACC